rnacentral:rRNA from 1 species
UACGUAGGGGGCAAGCGUUGUCCGGAAUCAUUGGGCGUAAAGAGCGUGUAGGCGGCCAGGUAGGUCCGUUGUGAAAACUCGAGGCUCAACCUCGAGACGUCGGCGGAAACCCUCUGGCUAGAGUCCGGAAGAGGAGAGUGGAAUUCCUGGUGUAGCGGUGAAAUGCGCAGAUAUCAGGAGGAACACCUGUGGCGAAAGCGGAUCUCUGGGCCAUUACUGACGCUGAGGAGCGAAAGCGUGGGGAGCGAACAGG